AGUUGUCGCUGUCCCAAUCAUCUGAAGGAAGUUCUUUGUACUACUAGCGUAUUCGAGUGAAGGCUGCACCUGCGACCCACGGCUGAUGAGUUAGUUGAUGAUUCGACAGAUUUUGCUGAACUGAUCGAUGCUCUCGCGUGCUCUCGACUAGUUUUCAAUCUUGGCGAAUGGCAGUAUCUACCACCGGGAUUAAUCAGCAGUCGGUGGUGCAGUUCAAAAACAAACGAUUAGUCGGAAAUCGAGAUUGAGAUGGCUGCGGUGACUGCCUGGGCCUACUUUGAUGAUUGGCGCGUCACGAAGAGUACGUGAGAUAACGUUGGGUGUGGCUCGAAUUUUACUGCAAAUAUGGAAAAAGUUAUGUUGCAAUUAGUUAAAAACGGAAGGAAUCAUUAAUCUUCAACAUCGUUAACGUAAAAAACAGUCCUUUUUCAUGUCUCCGACGCAUGGCUAUUAAGUAGCUAAUUGAAGGAUCACCGGUUUGCAAAAAUACAAUAAGCUGCCCAUAAUAAUAUUUAUUAUCUGCGGUCCGUUUUCGGACGACCAACAUCACUGUA